rnacentral:rRNA from 1 species
CUGAUUUAUACUGUGAGAACGAAAGUUCUUGCUUUUAACUAGAUAACAACUUUCAGCAGUGGAUGUCUAGGCUCGCACAUCGAUGAAGAACGCUGCGAACUGCGAUACGUAAUGCGAAUUGCAGAAUUCAGUGAGUCAUCGAAAUUUUGAACGCAUAUUGCACUUCCGGGUUCGUCCUGGAAGUAUGUCUGUAUCAGUGUCCGUAAAUCAAACUUGCCUUUCUUUUUCUGUGUAGUCAGGAGAAGAUGAGUGCAGAUGUGAAGUGUCUCGCUGGCCUGCUUCUCUCUUUGGGGAGUGGACAGGUAUCGAGUCCUUUUAAAACGACACGAUCUUUCUACUGUUACUGAGAAGUGUGACGCUCGAAUGCGGUGGUCUUCGGAUCGCGUGCAGUUGUCGGGGUCCUCGGCGUGAACAUAUGGAGGAAGCCUCGAUUCGCGGUAUGUUAUGCUUCGGCUGUACAAUGUUGCGUGAUUGGGAGUGGAAUUCGUUUGUGCCUUGAGGUGUACUGACGGUUGUGUGCUUGAACUGGAGGUUGUUGUGUAGUAGAGUGUUGUGUGAUGUACAGCGACGCCACUUCAUUUUGUUGUGGGUAGAGGACGUCUAUUUGGGAAAGAAGUAGUAUCGGCAGCUUUUGGUAGUGAAGGUAGU